rnacentral:rRNA from 1 species
GACGAACGCUGGCGGCGUGCUUAACACAUGCAAGUCGAACGGAAAGGCCCUUCGGGGUACUCGAGUGGCGAACGGGUGAGUAACACGUGGGUGAUCUGCCCUGCACUUUGGGAUAAGCCUGGGAAACUGGGUCUAAUACCGAAUAGGACCACGCGCUUCAUGGUGUGUGGUGGAAAGCUUUUGCGGUGUGGGAUGGGCCCGCGGCCUAUCAGCUUGUUGGUGGGGUAAUGGCCUACCAAGGCGACGACGGGUAGCCGGCCUGAGAGGGUGACCGGCCACACGGGGACUGAGAUACGGCCCAGGCCCCUACGGGAGGCAGCGGUGGGGAAUAUUGCACAAUGGGGGCAAGCCUGAUGCAGCCACGCCGGGGGGGGGAUGACGGCCUUGGGGUUGUAACCCUUUUUAAAAAGGGACGAAGCGCAAGUGACGGUACUUAUAGAAGAAGCACCGGCCAACUACGU